rnacentral:rRNA from 1 species
UACGGAGGGUGCGAGCGUUGUCCGGAAUCAUUGGGCGUAAAGGGCGCGUAGGUGGCCCGGUCAGUCUUUGGUGAAAGCGCGGGGCUCAACCCUGCGUCGGCCAGGGAUACUGCCGCGGCUCGAGCACUGUAGAGGCAGGCGGAAUUCCGGGUGUAGCGGUGGAAUGCGUAGAGAUCCGGAAGAACACCGGUGGCGAAGGCGACCUGCUGGGCAGUUUAGCUGACACUGAGGCGCGACAGCGUGGGGAGCAAACAGG